rnacentral:rRNA from 1 species
AUUGAACGCUGGCGGCAUGCCUUACACAUGCAAGUCGAACGGCAGCACGGGAGCAAUCCUGGUGGCGAGUGGCGAACGGGUGAGUAAUGUAUCGGAACGUGCCCAGUCGUGGGGGAUAACGUAGCGAAAGCUACGCUAAUACCGCAUACGAUCUAUGGAUGAAAGCGGGGGAUCGCAAGACCUCGCGCGAUUGGAGCGGCCAAUAUCGGAUUAGGUAGUGGGUGGGGUAAAGGCCCACCAAGCCUGCGAUCUGUAGCUGGUCUGAGAGGACGACCAGCCACACUGGAACUGAGACACGGUCCAGACUCCUACGGGAGGCAGCAGUGGGGAAUUUUGGACAAUGGGCGCAAGCCUGAUCCAGCAAUGCCGCGUGCAGGAUGAAGGUCUUCGGGUUGUAAACUGCUUUUGUACGGAACGAAACGGCUUUUUCUAAUACAGAGAGCUAAUGACGGUACCGUAAGAAUAAGCACCGGCUAACUACGUGCCAGCAGCCGCCGUAA